AAGGGUCAACUGUACAUCCUUGUCCUACAUCUUUGAAACCUGUUAUCAUUUCAAGUAACACUAAAAGGGAGGGUUCUACUGUGUUUCUGAAAACACCAAGUGCAUUUUUCCAGGGAGUUUCAGAAUGCUUCCAGGCAAAAAGUCAAACAACUACUCAAUACCAACUAAUUCACUGCCUGAAGCCCACCGGUGUCUGGCUUCCAAAGCAAAUGCUGAAAUGCUUUGCUUUUUCAUAUGAAAUGGUCUACAAGCAUUUGGAUCCUUUUAAAAAGCUAGAGAAAAAUACUACUGCAAAAUCUCGCAGAAUGAGACUAAAUGCAAACCUCUGGGUGUGCAGGAAAGUGCAGAAGGAUGGGAGACCUAAAGCUAGGCUGGGUAGGUCAAUCUCUGCCUCACCCCAAUUCAUGCAAUUUCGUAGGGGCUGACAACCCAUCCUCCUGCGCAGGUCUGGCUAGCGCGUAACCAAGUUGGUGGUCACUAAUGACAUCUGGGGGUUAGCCCUGUGACUCUGCUGGCCAGCCUGACCACCCCCAAGACAGCUUCCUCCUGCUACACUAGCCCCCUUCCAGAAGACAACUUUGAACACUGAGGGGAGGGGGUAGAUCUAGGAUCCCUGGGCAGUUUGGUGCAGCAGCUGGGGGACUGGGGGAGGAGGCCGCUCUCAGUCCAAGCACCUGGGAUCCAAUCCGGGCUGUCAGGUCAGCAGCUACAUACCCUUAACUGCUCCGUGCCUUACGUUACUGUUUUACAGGUGAGGGACCUAACUCAAGCGUUGUGCUGAUUAACACAGAAGUGCUUAUUGCAUCACCUGACACACGUCAAUCCCUCACUAAGUGUCACCUAUUUUUCUAUUCUAUGCCAUCCAGGAGCUACUGGAAAACACAGUGGGUUGGGCUAAGGGGGUUUGUAGACCCUCCCCUAAUUCCAAGAUCAGGCUGUGAAAGUCAACACAUACUAUAAACCAGUGAUCCUGUUUCCACGUUAAGUUUGUACCCUGCAUGUUCUUUCAGGAACUGGGGAAGAGGAGAAUGACUGAUAACCACGGCCCAAGUCUAGACCUCUAGUCCUGGGAGUCCCAAUGUAGUCUGCUGAGCUCACUGCCACCUCAGCCAUACUCGAUUUCAUUCCUCUUUCCUCAUGUGCAGCUCCUCUCCAUCUGCCUCCCUGAUCCACCCCCCCCCAUCUGCAUCACCGUAGCCCAAUCCUACUGCACAGAGGACGUCACAGAAAGGUAAACCCUAGGGCCAUGCUUUCUCGGCUGUGAACACCAAAUGAAGGAAAACACCAUC